rnacentral:rRNA from 1 species
CCUGAGAAACCUAAAAGAUCGAAUGAGGAGAUUCAUCGUCAGUCCAUUCAGUAUAUAUGCAAGUUGCGAUAUUAUUAAUUAUCCUUGUGUUAAUUAUUGUACGUUCUUGCAUUAUUUUAUUGUUGAAUGUGAUCGGCGUGCACUUCUCCCCUAGUAGAACGUCGUGACCCGUUAAGUGUCGAUUUACGUGCCAAAUGUGGCUAGACUUUGAUUAUAAAAUUUAUUGUUGAAGACCACUGGUAUUUACUAAUCGGCUGCUUGACGGUAUAUAAUAUGGUAUUGAGCCGCAAAAUUUAUUUUUGCGUUAAACUCACCACAAGCACGAUGAGUAAUCUAGUAUUGCGGACUUAAUGCCGUCGCUGGAACUUAUCUGCUGUUAGUUAGGUGAUGUUCUUUAACUGGCUCAAAAUAUACCAGUCAACGAUGCUACUGCUUUGGGUACUUUCAGGACCCGUCUUGAAACACGGACCAAGGAGUCUAACAUGUACGCAAGUCAUUGGGAUAUAUUUUAAUAAAAACAAACCUAAAGGCGUAAUGAAAGUAAAGAUUGAAUUUAUUUCAAUUAAGGGAGGAUGUGUUAUAUUAUGAUAUAAUACCGCACUCCCGGGGUGUUUCAUUCACAUUAUGCGAAGAGGCACACCCAGAG